rnacentral:rRNA from 1 species
AUUGAACGCUGGCGGCAGGCCUAACACAUGCAAGUCGAACGAGUGGCGGACGGGUGAGUAAUGUCUGGGAAACUGCCUGAUGGAGGGGGAUAACUACUGGAAACGGUAGCUAAUACCGCAUACCAUCAGAAGUGCCCAGAUGGGAUUAGCUAGUAGGUGGGGUAACGGCUCACCUAGGGGACGAACCCUAGCUGGUCGGAGAGGAUGACCAGCCAAAUGGGAACGGAGAAACGAGCACGACUCCUACGGGAGGCAGCAGUGGGGAAUAGUGCAAAAUGAGGGCAAGCCUGCUGCAGCCAUGCCGCGUGUAUGAAGAAGGCCUUGGGGUUGUAAAGUACUUUCAGCGGGGAGACGUUACCCGCAGAAGAAGCACCGGCUAACUCCGUGCCAGCAGCCGCGGUAAUAC